AUUGAACGCUGGCGGCAUGCUUUACACAUGCAAGUCGAACGGCAGCGCGGGCUUCGGCCUGGCGGCGAGUGGCGAACGGGUGAGUAAUGCAUCGGAACGUGCCCAGUAGUGGGGGAUAGCCCGGCGAAAGCCGGAUUAAUACCGCAUACGACCUGAGGGUGAAAGCGGGGGACCGAAAGGCCUCGCGCUAUUGGAGCGGCCGAUGUCGAAUUAGCUAGUUGGUGGGGUAAAGGCUUACCAAGGCGACGAUCCGUAGCUGGUCUGAGAGGACGACCAGCCACACUGGGACUGAGACACGGCCCAGACUCCUACGGGAGGCAGCAGUGGGGAAUUUUGGACAAUGGGGGCAACCCUGAUCCAGCCAUGCCGCGUGUGGGAAGAAGGCCUUCGGGUUGUAAACCGCUUUUGUUCGGGAAGAAAUCCUCUGGGCUAAUACCCCGGGGGGAUGACGGUACCGGAAGAAUAAGCACCGGCUAACUACGU
rnacentral:rRNA from 1 species